UUUUUAGCGGCGGACGGGUGAGUAACGUGUGGGCAACCUACCUUUUACUGUGGAAUAAUCGUUGGAAACGACGACUAAUACCGCAUACGGUUCUUGGAAGGCAUCUUCUAAGAAAGAAAGGAGUAAUUCGGUAAAAGAUGGGCCCGCAUCUGAUUAGCUAGUUGGUGAGAUAAUAGCCCACCAAGGCAACGAUCAGUAGCCGACCUGAGAGGGUGACCGGCCACAUUGGGACUGAGACACGGCCCAAACUCCUACGGAAGGCAGCAG
rnacentral:rRNA from 1 species